UAUGAAGGAAAAAAAACACGAGAGAGUUUACAAGAUUUGUUGUUCAUUGGGUCUUUUUAGGUGUUCCAGCAAAGUCUGUAUUACAAACGGAUUUCUUGGCCCAAACGUUAAGACUUGACAAUAAUAUGGUGGGCUUAAUAUUGUAAUGGAGAAGUGAACUUAAGGUCGUGAGCUGAAAAGCACCGAUCUUAAUUAUAAAUCAAAAGGUAGAAGCUUUACUUCUGACAAGCUCCUGCCCUUUCCACAUUAGUUUCCUUUCAAAUUUACAGUAAAUUCAGUGUAUUCUAGUACCAUUAUUGCACAAGUUAACUUGAUUCUCUAUUUAAAUCCCAAGGAAUCGCUUAUUUAUGC
rnacentral:lncRNA from 1 species